UACAGAGGUCUCAAGCGUUGUUCGGAAUCACUGGGCGUAAAGGGUGCGUAGGCGGCGUGGAAAGUCAGAUGUGAAAUCCGAAGGCUCAACCUUCGAAUAGCAUCCGAAACUUCCAUGCUCGAGAUUUGUAGAGGAGUCUGGAACUCUCGGUGUAGCAGUGAAAUGCGUGGAUAUCGAGAAGAACGCUCGUAGCGAAGGCGAGGCUCUGGGCAAGUUCUGACGCUGAGGCACGAAGGCUAGGGGAGCAAACGGG
rnacentral:rRNA from 1 species